rnacentral:lncRNA from 1 species
GAGGAAAAACCCUUCAUAUGCUUAUUCUUAUGGAAUCAAUUCUACCUGCUUUACAUGCUCCUACAUUUUAAAAAAUGCCUAGUGGACUUUUUACCUGACUGGAUUUAAAUGUUUGCAGGGCUAUAACAACCUUUUUUAACCUAGAAACCUCUUCAGAACUCCCUUUUGAAAUUCUUGUUGUGUUAAGUUUUUGUCAUGUUAAAACACAAAAUACCCUGGUCUUGUGCAAUCUGUUUCCGUUCUGUUGCCAGGGGUUGAACCGCUCACUUAUUUGCAAGCAUGUACAACUUACAUUGCAAAAUACUGCCUUGUAAACAGGAGUCUGCUGUUCUUCCCAUUUCUCACAGAAAACAGAAGAGAAAAAUCACCCAGCCAAGUACAGGAAACACAAGCUUGUGUCAUCAUCAUUGCCCAAGCUUUCUGGGUGCGAGGAGUGGCACUCAGGAGCACCUGGUAAUGGAGGGGAUGGGAGAGUUGCACAGAAGCAGGGAGGACCUGCUGGCAGGAUUGACCUUCCCCCAGAACCAGCACACCAAUGGACCCCACCCAGACACUGUACCUCUCUCAACCGCAACCACCAAUGUCCACAUUGUGUACAGUGCAGUGAAGACUUCUGCAAUGGAACAAAGGUCACCGUGCUCUUCCUGGAGAAGCCAAGAUGAAAACACAGAGAUGCACGCUGUGACCUAUACCACCCUGCACUUUCCAAAGAGUGACAGCACACAUAGCACGAAUGCCACUGACUCAAAGACACUGGACUGGAUCUACGCUAAAGUGUCAAAGCCACAGUGCCACAUGGAGAAUGGGACACAAGACUAUGAGAACGUGAAGGGCUUGAAUUUGAAGCAGACGAGCACAGAUACAGACACAAGUGAGGAUGACCAAGAAGUCAACUAUUCAGUCAUUUCCAUCAAGCAAAAUGCCAAUUACAAGGUCCAACAACACCAGUUCUCAGAUGUCAGUUCCAGUUCAGAUGAGGAAGACGAUGCAACACAGUACUCUGAUGUCAAGAUCUGAAUGAAAUUCAUAUCGUAUUUUUUCCAUGAUAAAUCUUGAAAGCGUUUCACACAUGCAUGGGCCAUGAGAGAACUAAGGAGGAAAAAAAUGUUUUCUUCAUCUUUGGCCUCUGAUGCCCAGUAACUAAUAUAUCUGUUUGAUUCAGUAUAGCCUACUUCUGCAUCUAUGAAAGCCUUGGGGCUUAAAAUAUGAUAUUGACCUCUGCUUAGGAUCUUGAUGGCAUGUACUCUGGAGCAUAAUGACUGUUGCUGUAAAUUCCGUUUACAAGGUCAGAGGAGUUUUCCACACACAGUCUACUUCCCCUUGAAACACAUUACCCUGAUUCGAAGGUUCAGCCUUUGCUGUUCCUUUCCUCACAUUGACUGAUAAUUUACUGCCUUCUGUUAGUUCCUUAUUUCAUUAGCAGCUCUGCCUCUUUUUACUUCUCAUUUUUAGUGUUGCAGAUUUAUUUUUUUAAUGAUAAAUUUCACAGGAACUACUAUAACAAAAAGGGGGGGCAUGGCGGCAUGGUGGCACAGUGGCAGGGAGGGCUUGGCUAGGUCCUGCUCUCUGGCAGGUCUGGGGUUCAAGCCCUACUUGGUGUGCCUUGCGGCGGACUGGUGUCCCAUCCUGGGUGUUUCUCCACCCCCUCCAGCCUUGUGCCCUGUGUUGCGGGGUCAGGAUCCGGCUUGCAGUGACCCUACUUGGGACAAGCGGUUUCAAAUUGCAUGUGUGUACUAUAAUAAACAGAAAAAAAGUGUUUUGUGCUCUGAAUAU